rfam:Verrucomicrobia bacterium IMCC26134, complete genome.
CCUGGUGAUUAUAUGCCGGGGGUUCCACCCGUUCCCAUCCCGAACACGGCCGUUAAGCCCCGAGCAGCUGAUGGUAGUAGGGCGUUAGGCCCCGCGAGAGUAGGUCGUUGCCAGGU